AUUGAACGCUGGCGGCAGGCCUAACACAUGCAAGUCGAACGAGUGGCGGACGGGUGAGUAAUGUCUGGGAAACUGCCCGAUGGAGGGGGAUAACUACUGGCAACAGUAGCUAAUACCGCAUACCAUCGGAUGUGCCCAGAUGGGAUUAGCUAGUAGGUGGGGUAACGGCUCACCUAGUCGACGCUCCCUAGCUGGUCUGAGAGGGUGACCGGCCACACUGGACCGGAGACACGGUCAAAACUCCGACGUGAGGCAGCAGGGGGGAAUAGUGCAAAAUGGGCGAGAGCCUGAUGCAGCCAUGCCGCGUGUAUGAAGAAGGCCUUCGGGUUGUAAAGUACUUUCAGCGAGGAGGCGUUACUCGCAGAAGAAGCACCGGCUAACUCCGUGACAGCAGCCGCGGUAAUUC
rnacentral:rRNA from 1 species